rnacentral:rRNA from 1 species
UACCGAGGAUGCAAGCGUUAUCCGGAAUGAUGGGGCGUAAAGCGUCCGCAGGUGGCAGUUCAAGUCUGCUGUCAAAGACCGGGGCUUAACUUCGGAAAGGCAGUGGAAACUGAACAGCUAGAGUAUGGUAGGGGCAGAGGGAAUUCCUGGUGUAGCGGUGAAAUGCGUAGAGAUCAGGAAGAACAUCGGUGGCGAAGGCGCUCUGCUGGACCAUAACUGACACUCAGGGACGAAAGCUAGGGGAGCGAAUGGG